rnacentral:rRNA from 1 species
GGCGUCGACCGGCGCACGGGUGAGUAACGCGUAUCCAACCUGCCCACCACUUGGGGAUAACCUUGCGAAAGUAAGACUAAUACCCAAUGACGUCUCUAGAAGACAUCUGAAAGGGAUUAAAGAUUUAUCGGUGAUGGAUGGGGAUGCGUCUGAUUAGCUUGUUGGCGGGGUAACGGCCCACCAAGGCGACGAUCAGUAGGGGUUCUGAGAGGAAGGUCCCCCACAUUGGAACUGAGACACGGUCCAAACUCCUACGGGAGGCAGCAGUGAGGAAUAUUGGUCAAUGGACGAGAGUCUGAACCAGCCAAGUAGCGUGCAGGAAGACGGCCCUAUGGGUUGUAAACUGCUUUUAUAAGGGAAUAAAGUGAGUCUCGUGAGACUUUUUGCAUGUACCUUAUGAAUAAGGACCGGCUAAUUCCGUGCCAGCAGCCGCGGUAAUACGGAAGGUCCGGGCGUUAUCCGGAUUUAUUGGGUUUAAAGGGAGCGUAGGCCGGAGAUUAAGCGUGUUGUGAAAUGUAGACGCUCAACGUCUGCACUGCAGCGCGAACUGGUUUCCUUGAGUACGCACAAAGUGGGCGGAAUUCGUGGUGUAGCGGUGAAAUGCUUAGAUAUCACGAAGAACUCCGAUUGCGAAGGCA